rnacentral:rRNA from 1 species
UACGUAGGGGGCUAGCGUUAUCCGGAUUUACUGGGCGUAAAGGGUGCGUAGGUGGUUUCUUAAGUCAGGAGUGAAAGGCUACGGCUCAACCGUAGUAAGCUCUUGAAACUGGGAAACUUGAGUGCAGGAGAGGAAAGUGGAAUUCCUAGUGUAGCGGUGAAAUGCGUAGAUAUUAGGAGGAACACCAGUAGCGAAGGCGGCUUUCUGGACUGUAACUGACACUGAGGCACGAAAGCGUGGGGAGAAAACAGG